rnacentral:rRNA from 1 species
UACAGAGGUCCCAAGCGUUGUUCGGAUUCACUGGGCGUAAAGGGUGCGUAGGCGGUCGGAUAAGUCUGAUGUGAAAUCUUCGAGCUCAACUCGGAAACUGCAUCGGAAACUAUUCGGCUAGAGGAUUGGAGGGGAGACUGGAAUUCUCGGUGUAGCAGUGAAAUGCGUAGAUAUCGAGAGGAACACCAGUGGCGAAGGCGAGUCUCUGGACAAUUCCUGACGCUGCGGCACGAAAGCUAGGGGAGCAAACAGG